rnacentral:rRNA from 1 species
AUUGAACGCUGGCGGCAGGCCUAACACAUGCAAGUCGAGCGGAUGAAGGGAGCUUGCUCCUGGAUUCAGCGGCGGACGGGUGAGUAAUGCCUAGGAAUCUGCCUGGUAGUGGGGGAUAACGUCCGGAAACGGGCGCUAAUACCGCAUACGUCCUGAGGGAGAAAGUGGGGGAUCUUCGGACCUCACGCUAUCAGAUGAGCCUAGGUCGGAUUAGCUAGUUGGUGGGGUAAAGGCCUACCAAGGCGACGAUCCGUAACUGGUCUGAGAGGAUGAUUAGUCACACUGGAACUGAGACACGGUCCAGACUCCUACGGGAGGCAGCAGUGGGGAAUAUUGGACAAUGGGCGAAAGCCUGAUCCAGCCAUGCCGCGUGUGUGAAGAAGGUCUUCGGAUUGUAAAGCACUUUAAGUUGGGAGGAAGGGCAGUAAGUUAAUACCUUGCUGUUUUGACGUUACCAACAGAAUAAGCACCGGCUAACUUCG